rnacentral:tRNA from 1 species
UCCCUGGCAGUCCAGUGGCUAAGACUCUGUACUCUCAAUUCAGGGGUCCUGGGUUCCAUCCCUGGUCAGGGAA